rnacentral:rRNA from 1 species
AGAACGAACGCUGGCGGCAUGCCUAACACAUGCAAGUCGAACGCUUCCGGGGCUUCGGUCGCGGAGGAGUGGCGCACGGGUGAGUAGCGCGUGGGAACCUGCCCUGUUGUGGGGGAUAACCGAGGGAAACUUCGGCUAAUACCGCAUACGCCCCGGGACUUGGUCUUCGGAUUAGGUCUGGGGGGAAAGAUUGAUCGCAGCAGGAGGGGCCCGCGUCGGAUUAGCUGGUUGGUGGGGUAACGGCUCACCAAGGCGAUGAUCCGUAGCUGGUCUGAGAGGAUGAUCAGCCACACUGGGACUGAGACACGGCCCAGACUCCUACGGGAGGCAGCAGUGGGGAAUAUUGGACAAUGGGGGCAACCCUGAUCCAGCAAUGCCGCGUGAGUGAUGAAGGCCUUAGGGUUGUAAAGCUCUUUCGCCCGCGACGAUGAUGACGGUAGCGGGAGAAGAAGCCCGGCUAACUCGUGCAGCAGCCGC